rnacentral:tRNA from 1 species
UAGCCUAGUGGUUAAGGCUAUGGAUUGCCCAUCCGGAGACGGCGGGUUCGAUUCCCGU